GACGAACCGUGCGAACGUUAUUCGGAAUCACUGGGCUUAAAGCGCGUGUAGGCGGGAGGGCACGUCCGGCGCUGAAAUCCCCCGGCUCAACCGGGGAACGGGCGCGGAUACGACCUUCCUCGAGGGACGUAGGGGGACCUGGAACUUCCGGUGGAGCGGUGAAAUGCGUAGAGAUCGGGCGGAACACCAGCGGCGAAGGCGGCAUCCUGGCCCUUACCUGACGCUGAGGCGCGAGAGCGUGGGGAGCAAACCGG
rnacentral:rRNA from 1 species